UACGAAGGGGGCUAGCGUUGCUCGGAAUUACUGGGCGUAAAGCGCACGUAGGCGGAUUGUUAAGUCGGGGGUGAAAUCCUGGAGCUCAACUCCAGAACUGCCUUCGAUACUGGCGAUCUCGAGUUCGGGAGAGGUGAGUGGAACUGCGAGUGUAGAGGUGAAAUUCGUAGAUAUUCGCAAGAACACCAGUGGCGAAGGCGGCUCACUGGCCCGAUACUGACGCUGAGGUGCGAAAGCGUGAGGAGCAAACAGG
rnacentral:rRNA from 1 species